rnacentral:rRNA from 1 species
GAUGAACGCUGGCGGCGUGCCUAAUACAUGCCAGUCGAGCGAACAGAUAAGGAGCUUGCUCCUUUGACGUUAGCGGCGGACGGGUGAGUAACACGUGGGUAACCUACCUAUAAGACUGGAAUAACUCCGGGAAACCGGGGCUAAUGCCGGAUAACAUUUAGAACCGCAUGGUUCUAAAGUGAAAGAUGGUUUUACUAUCACUUAUAGAUGGACCCGCGCCGUAUUAGCUAGUUGGUAAGGUAACGGCUUACCAAGGCAACGAUACGUAGCCGACCUGAGAGGGUGAUCGGCCACACUGGAACUGAGACACGGUCCAGACUCCUACGGGAAGCAGCAGUAGGGAAUCUUCCGCAAUGGGCGAAAGCCUGACGGAGCAACGCCGCGUGAGUGAUGAAGGUCUUCGGAUCGUAAAACUCUGUUAUUAGGGAAGAACAAAUGUGUAAGUAACUGUGCACGUCUUGACGGUACCUAAUCAGAAAGCCACGGCUAACUACGUG